GCCGAGCUUGGUAACGUGAUCUUGCAACUCAAGUGAGGGCGCAGAAAGUGGGUGGACUAUCUCUCGGUGUCCUUCAAGCAUGCUUGAUCUAAUGUGCCCUCUCCAAAGCCAGGAGUUCACCGUGCCCUUUAGCCGAACCCCUUUAACCGAAAGGUUGGGUGGGCACGGACCUGGAGUGGAAGAGAACGCGUAAGGCUGGCUUUGCAGAGCAGCGGUUACCUCUCGCUUUUGACAAUCGGAAAGGGUUCCAUUCCCACAUAGAGAGCCCUUUUUGCUAUUCCCCGUAAUCUCUAGGGUUGCUAUUUUU
rnacentral:SRP_RNA from 1 species